ACGAACGCUGGCGGCGUGCCUAAUCCAUGCAAGUAGAACGCUGAAGAGAGGAGCUUCCUCUUCUUGGAUGAGUUGCGAACGGGUGAGUAACGCGUAGGUAACCUGCCUUGUAGCGGGGGAUAACUAUUGGAAACGAUAGCUAAUACCGCAUAACAAUGGAUGACACAUGUCAUUUAUUUGAAAGGGGCAAUUGCUCCACUACAAGAUGGACCUGCGUUGUAUUAGCUAGUAGGUGAGGUAAUGGCUCACCUAGGCGACGAUACAUAGCCGACCUGAGAGGGUGAUCGGCCACACUGGGACUGAGACACGGCCCAGACUCCUACGGGAGGCAGCAGUAGGGAAUCUUCGGCAAUGGGGGCAACCCUGACCGAGCAACGCCGCGUGAGUGAAGAAGGUUUUCGGAUCGUAAAGCUCUGUUGUAAGUCAAGAACGGGUGUGAGAGUGGAAAGUUCACACUGUGACGGUAGCUUACCAGAAAGGGACGGCUAACUACGUG
rnacentral:rRNA from 1 species